GAAAACAUUAUGUUUAGCGUUCUUUUGAAAGUAGGAAGAAAAAUUCCCUGGACUGAUGAUUAAUCAUAUUUGGAUUACAAACAUUUAGAAUGGAUCAUGGCGGCAUUCACUUCGACUAUGUGGCAUGGGUUUCACGGAGUUGGAACCUACCCCAUCUGACUUUCAUCUGACUGACUAUAUUAUGGACUGGCUGCCAGAUGGACACUCAGUAACCAUCCACAUGUCACCGAAUGGGAACUGAAUCAACACUGCUUUUGUGGAAGUCACGGUAAUUUACACACAGCACCAGGAAGCUCUUUUACCUGUCAUUUGAAGACAUGGGCCCCACUGGCGUGAUGUCAUCUUUGAUCUGAGGGGACUUUAUUUAAAGCAGGCUCGUUAGGUCAAUUACUUCUGAAACAAGCACUCCUUUCCAGCGAUGACGGCAGAGUCCGCGAUGCAACAGGAUAAUCCCUAGCGACUUGUGUGAGGGCAUAGGCAGCAGACCACACUACAGCUGCUAAGCACGUUUGCACGCUUGUGAAUCCCAACAUUAGUACGUCAAAUGGAUUCAGACAUUUGGCCUAGACAUGCCCUAAGACUUAGCCAAAGACACUUCUAACAGGAUAUAAUCAAUCUCUAAUCUUACAUUAACCAGAAUUCCAAGUUCAAAUGUCCCAUUUAAGAGUUUUAGAACCAUAAAUGUUCAUAAACCAAAAUUGUUGGCAUUAUCUCCUCUCCCUGUACAAAGGCAAAGUCCGAUCAGUAAACAGUUCCUGUAAAGUCCACAGUUAGCAGCUACAUUGAUUUUCCAGUUGUGAUUUGGAUUCCUCAAAAAGCUUAAACUGUUGAAGAUGAUUCUGCGACAAUUAGGAUGUCCUUGGUCCAACACUUGGUCCAGGAAAGCUCAUAUCGCUUUUGGUGUGAAGGAGGAUACACAUCUGGUCUUCAUCCUUCCCUACAUGGACUUGCUUUUUACCUGUCAAAGUGUAUUAUUAAUGUUCACGACUCGAGGGCCUCAAAACUGGUUUAGGUGAGUUGAUAGAAAAAUCCAAAUCCCCUUGUUUGAUUUUUUUAAAUACAUGCUUUGAGUCAAACACAGCUGGGAAUAUUUGGGAUUUGGAAAGAGAUUCAAUUGUAAAAUUUUUGGAGCUAGCAGAAGGAUCAACGCUUCA